rnacentral:rRNA from 1 species
CGAACUAACGCUGGCGGCGUGCCUAACACAUGCAAGUCGUACGAGAAAGCCGGCUUCGGCUGGUGAGUAAAGUGGCGCACGGGUGAGUAACGCGUGGAUAAUCUGCCCUUAAGUGUGGAAUAACGUACCGAAAGGUGCGCUAAUACCGCAUAAUGCCUGGCAACACAAGUUGUCCGGCCAAAGAAGGCCUCUGUUUACAAGCUUUCGCUUCAGGAUGAGUCCGCGUACCAUUAGCUUGUUGGUGGGGUAAUGGCCUACCAAGGCUACGACGGGUAGGUGGUCUGAGAGGAUGGUCACCCACACUGGGACUGAGACACUGCCCAGACUCCUACGGGAGGCUGCAGUCGAGAAUCUUCCGCAAUGGGCGCAAGCCUGACGGAGCGAUGCCGCGUGAGGGAUGAAGGCCUUCGGGUUGUAAACCUCUGUCAUGGGGGAAGAAGUAAGUGACGGUACCCCAAGAGGAAGCCCCUGCUAACUACGUG